rnacentral:rRNA from 1 species
UACGAAAGGUGCAAGCGUUACUCGGAAUUACUGGGCUUAAAGCGCACGUAGGCGGCGCCGUCAGUGUCUGGUGAAAUCCCACGGCUCACCCGUGGAACUGCCAGGCAUACUGCGAUGCUCGAGUGUGGUAGGGGAGAGCGGAACUCCUGGUGGAGCGGUGAAAUGCGUAGAUAUCAGGAGGAACACCGGUGGCGAAGGCGGCUCUCUGGUCCACAACUGACGCUGAGGUGCGAAAGCUAGGGGAGCAAACGGG